rnacentral:rRNA from 1 species
UACGUAGGGUGCUAGCGUUAAUCGGAAUUACUGGGCGUAAAGCGUGCGCAGGCGGUUGUGCAAGACAGAUGUGAAAUCCCCGGGCUUAACCUGGGAACUGCAUUUGUGACUGCACAGCUGGAGUGCGGCAGAGGGGGAUGGAAUUCCGCGUGUAGCAGUGAAAUGCGUAGAUAUGCGGAGGUACACCGAUGGCGAAGGCAAUCCCCUGGGCCUGCACUGACGCUCAUGCACGAAAGCGUGGGGAGCAAACAGG